UGACUGAGGACUUUAUUUAAA
rnacentral:piRNA from 1 species